GAUGAGUAGCCCGGUCUGAGAGAUGAUCGGCCACACUGGGACUGGAACACGGCCCAGACUCUACGGGAGGCAGCAGUGGGGAAUAUUGCGCAAUGGGCGAAAGCCUGACGCAGCGACGCGCGUGAGGGAUGAAGGUUCUCGGAUCGUAAACCUCUGUCAGAAGGGAAGAAAAACCAGAGGAGUAACUGCCUUUGGCUGACGGUACCUUCAAAGGAAGCACCGGCUAACUCCGUGCCAGCAGCCGCGGUAAUACGGAGGGUGCAAGCGUUAAUCGGAAUCACUGGGCGUAAAGCGCACGUAGGCGGCUUUGUAAGUCAGCGGUGCAAGCCCUUCGCUCAACGAAGGAAUUGCCGUUGAUACUGCUUAGCUUGAGUUUGUGAGAGGAUAGUGGAAUUCCAGGUGUAGGAGUGAAAUCCGUAGAGAUCUGGAGGAACAUCAGUGGCGAAGGCGACUAUCUGGCACAAUACUGACGCUGAGGUGCGAAAGCGUGGGGAUCAAACAGGAUUAGAUACCCUGGUAGUCCACGCUGUAAACGAUGGAUACUAGGUGCUGGAGGCUUGACUUUCAGUGCCGUAGCUAACGCGUUAAGUAUCCCGCCU
rnacentral:rRNA from 1 species